AAGGAUGCGUGAGCACAAAGAAAAGACCCUCAGAGGACACAGUGAGAAAAUGGUUAUCUGCAAGCCAAGGAGAGACCAAACCUGCCGGCACCUUAAUCUUGGACUCUCAGCCUCCAGAACUAAGAUCCAACCAAGAUUCUACCAAGAAGAUCGUGGGGGAUCCAACGAGAUGGAGGGAAAAGCAAAGAGAAGAUGCGAUGAAGCCACAGAGCAGGAAGAGGCCUCGGUUGCUGUCCUGACCAGUCCUCUCACUUCACCAUCAAGGCCAUGAAACCCAGAGAAGGGAUGUGACUUGAGAUCCAGCCAGACCCAGAUCCAGAGUUGGGAGGGCAGGGGUGCUGCAAUAUGAUCACAGAAUCGACACUCGACCCCUCCCAGCGACCUGGCAAAGUGGGCACUAACUCCAUUCUGCAGAGGUGGAAACUGAGGCCAGUGUGGGGAAUGGAAAUUGACUGGG
rnacentral:lncRNA from 1 species